GGAAGGAUCAUUAUCGUGGGGCUCUGGCCCCGUCGAGAAAAUCACCCUUGCCUUUUUCGAGCACCGUUCUGUUUCCUCGGCAGGCCCGCCUGCCAACGGGGACACAACCAAACCCUCUUGUGUACCUGCAACCGUCUGAGAAGCGAUUAAAACAAUCAAAACUUUCAACAACGGAUCUCUUGGUUCUGGCAUCGAUGAAGAACGCAGCGAAAUGCGAUAAGUAGUGUGAAUUGCAGAAUUCAGUGAAUCAUCGAAUCUUUGAACGCACAUUGCGCCCUUUGGUAUUCCUUAGGGCAUGCCUGUUCGAGCGUCAUUUCAACCCUCAAGCGCAGCUUGGUGUUGGGCGAACCGUCCCCGAACCCCCUCAGGGGGGCCAGCGGACCCGCCUCAAAUGCAUUGGCGGCCGGUACCUUGGCUUCGAGCGCAGCAGAAACGCGGACUCGGGGCCUUGGGGCCGAUCCCCAGAAGCUACCCACUAUGUUUGACCUCGGAUCAGGUAGGGAUACCCGCUGAACUUAAGCAUAUCAAUAAGCGGAGGAAAAGAAACCAACAGGGAUUGCCCUAGUAACGGCGAGUGAAGCGGCAACAGCUCAAAUUUGAAAUCUGGCCCCUUUGGGGCCCGAGUUGUAAUUUGUAGAGGGUGUUUCGGCGAUGGCUGCGGCCUAAGUUCCUUGGAACAGGACGUCACAGAGGGUGAGAAUCCCGUGUGUGGCUGCCAGCCUGCGCCGUGAGAAGCCCCUUCGACGAGUCGAGUUGUUUGGGAAUGCAGCUCUAAAUGGGAGGUAAAUUUCUUCUAAAGCUAAAUACUGGCCAGAGACCGAUAGCGCACAAGUAGAGUGAUCGAAAGAUGAAAAGCACUUUGGAAAGAGAGUCAAAAAGCACGUGAAAUUGUUGAAAGGGAAGCGCUUGCAGCCAGACUUGCCCGCAGUUGCUCACCGGGUCCUACGGGCCCGGGCACUCUUCUGCGGGCAGGCCAGCAUCAGUCCGGGCGGUGGGAUAAAUGCCUGCUAAACGUACCUCUCCUCGGGGAGGACUUAUAGGGUAGGCGGCAUGCCACCAGCCGGGACUGAGGUCCGCGCAUCUGCUAGGAUGCUGGCGUAAUGGCUGUAAGCGGCCCGUCUUGAAACACGGACCAAGGAGUCUAACAUCUAUGCGAGUGUUUGGGUGUCAAGCCCGGGCGCGCAAUGAAAGUGAACGGAGGUGGGAACCCCUCGGGGCGCACCAUCGACCGAUCCUGAUGUCUUCGGAUGGAUUUGAGUAAGAGCAUAGCUGUUGGGACCCGAAAGAUGGUGAACUAUGCCUGAAUAGGGUGAAGCCAGAGGAAACUCUGGUGGAGGCUCGCAGCGGUUCUGACGUGCAAAUCGAUCGUCAAAUUUGGGCAUAGGGGCGAAAGACUAAUCGAACCAUCUAGUAGCUGGUUCCUGC
rnacentral:misc_RNA from 1 species